GACGAACGCUGGCGGCGUGCCUAAUACAUGCAAGUAGAACGCUGAAGAGAGGAGCUUGCUCUUCUUGGAUGAGUUGCGAACGGGUGAGUAACGCGUAGGUAACCUGCCUGGUAGCGGGGGAUAACUAUUGGAAACGAUAGCUAAUACCGCAUAAAAUUGAUUAUCGCAUGAUAAUUAAUUGAAAGAUGCAAUUGCAUCACUACCAGAUGGACCUGCGUUGUAUUAGCUAGUUGGUGAGGUAACGGCUCACCAAGGCGACGAUACAUAGCCGACCUGAGAGGGUGAUCGGCCACACUGGGACUGAGACACGGCCCAGACUCCUACGGGAGGCAGCAGUAGGGAAUCUUCGGCAAUGGGGGAACCCUGACCGAGCAACGCCGCGUGAGUGAAGAAGGUUUUCGGAUCGUAAAGCUCUGUUGUAAGAGAAGAACGGGUGU
rnacentral:rRNA from 1 species